UCCCGCUUAACUCAGUGGCAGAGUGCGUCACUAGUAUGCUAAACAGGCUUCCGGCACGGCGUGUCGUUAUGACGAAGUCAGUCGUUCAAAUCGGCUAGUGGGAA